rnacentral:rRNA from 1 species
AAAGCUGGCGGCGCGCUUAACACAUGCAAGUCGAGCGAGAACCGGUCCUUCGGGACCGGGGACAGCGGCGAACGGGUGAGUAACACGUGGGUAAUCAACCCCCGGCACCGGGAUAGCCCGAGGAAACUCGGAUUAAUACCGGACGGCCCAGCAGCUCUUCGGGGCGGCUGGAAAAGGUAGCUUCGGCCUCCGGCCGGGGACGAGCCCGCGGCGGAUUAGCUUGUUGGUGGGGUAACGGCCUACCAAGGCGACGAUCCGUAGCUGGUCUGAGAGGACGAUCAGCCACACUGGGACUGAGACACGGCCCAGACUCCUACGGGAGGCAGCAGUGGGGAAUCUUGCACAAUGGGCGAAAGCCUGAUGCAGCGACACCGCGUGAGGGAAGAAGGCUUUCGGGUUGUAAACCUCUUUCAGGAGGGACGAAGCCACUCGGGUUAAUAGCCCAGAGGGUGACGGUACCUCCAGAAGAAGCCCCGGCUAACUACGUGCCAGCAGCCGCGGCAAUACGUA